rnacentral:tRNA from 1 species
AAGGAUUUAAGUUAACCCAAAAACUAGUAGCCUUCAAAGCCGCCAAUAAAGAUCGUGCUUUAAGCCUUA